rnacentral:rRNA from 1 species
UACGGGGGGGCAAGCGUUGUUCGGAAUUACUGGGCGUAAAGGGCUCGUAGGCGGCCAACUAAGUCAGACGUGAAAUCCCUAGGCUCAACCUAGGAACUGCGUCUGAUACUGGAUGGCUUGAAUCCGGGAGAGGGAUGCAGAAUUCCAGGUGUAGCGGUGAAAUGCGUAGAGAUCAGGAAGAACACCGGUGGCGAAAGCGCUCUGCUGGACCUUAACUGACACUGAGGGACGAAAGCUAGGGGAGCGAAUGGG